rnacentral:rRNA from 1 species
GGUAGUCCACGCCGUAAACGAUGAGUGCUAGGUGUUAGGCCCUUUCCGGGGCUUAGUGCCGGAGCUAACGCAAUAAGCACUCCGCCUGGGGAGUACGACCGCAAGGUUGAAACUCAAAGGAAUUGACGGGGGCCCGCACAAGCGGUGGAGCAUGUGGUUUAAUUCGAAGCAACGCGAAGAACCUUACCAGGUCUUGACAUCCCGAUGCUAUUCUUAGAGAUAGGAAGUUACUUCGGUACAUCGGAGACAGGUGGUGCAUGGUUGUCGUCAGCUCGUGUCGUGAGAUGUUGGGUUAANNNNNNNNNNCGAGCGCAACCCUUAUUGUUAGUUGCCAUCAUUAAGUUGGGCACUCUAGCGAGACUGCCGGUAAUAAACCGGAGGAAGGUGGGGAUGACGUCAAAUCAUCAUGCCCCUUAUGACCUGGGCUACACACGUGCUACAAUGGUCGGUACAACGAGUUGCGAGCCGGUGACGGCAAGCUAAUCUCUGAAAGCCGAUCUCAGUUCGGAUUGGAGGCUGCAACUCGCCUCCAUGAAGUCGGAAUCGCUAGUAAUCGCGGAUCAGCACGCCGCGGUGAAUACGUUCCCGGGCCU